rnacentral:rRNA from 2 species
UUUUAAUUGAAGGCUUGUAUGAAGGGUUGGACAAAGGAUAAGCUGUCUUUUUUCUUGUUUUUGAAUUUGUCUUUUAAGUGAAAAGACUUAAAUUAUUUUAAGGGACGAUAAGACCCUAUAAAUCUUUAUAUUAAUAUGUUUUUAUUUUAAUUUUUAAUGUUUAUAGAGAUAAAAAUAUAAAAUAUUAUAUUGGGGUGAUAAGAAUAAUUAAUAAACUGUUCUAAAUAAAAACAAAGUUGUUUGGAGAAAUAAUAGAUCCUUUUUAGAGAUUAAAAGUUUAAGUUACUUUAGGGAUAACAGCGUUAUUUUUCUUGAGAGUUCUAAUCGAAAGAAAAGUUUGCGACCUCGAUGUUGAAUUAAAAUUUCUCUAUGGUGCAGCCGUUAUAGAAGAAAGUCUGUUCGACUUUUAAAAUUUUACGUGAUCU